AUUUAUUUAUUACACAAUUUGAAAUACAUUUCUUACAUUGGGUUGGGUGAGGAAGAUUCUAGAAUAAGCAAAGUGCACUAUAAAAGCACCUAUUUCCUUCUCAACCCCAGUAGCUCCUACAAUCCUAUUCCCUAACCUUAAGGCUAUGGGGUAUGGAGACCGUCCCCAUCCCCGUUUUGGUUCGGCGCCGGCUACACCCCAUCCCCCCCCCCGGGUCCCCGUCUUCAACGUCGAGGAAUGGACGUUCAGGACGAUCCAACAUGGUGGCCCCCAUUGAUGAUUUCGACCGUUAAUAAAAAAAAUAAUAAACAACAACCCACCACCGCCGGGAACUACAACAACCACCACCACAAAUUCGCCGCCACCACUCAAUCAAUCAACUUCCAUUCUUGCAGAUCUGGUGAACGAGAGAGAAGCUAGAGAAAUGGAGAAAAAAAUGUUGGAAACCUGGUGAACGACUGUGGUGGUUGUUGCGACGGUGGUGUGGUUACAGGCGGUUGAGAGAGAGAGACUUUUUAUGAUGGUUUUUUUUUAAAUCUUGCAGAUCUGGUGAAAGAGAUGACUUUUUAUGGUGGUUUUUUUCUUCUGGAAGCACAAAGAUUUUAGAGAGAGAAACAAAGAGAUGAUUUUUUUAUGGUGGAAACAAAAGGCAGUUGAGAGGAUUAAAAUUGAUAUAAAAUAAAACUACCAAAAUUGCUAUAAAAUAAAACUAAUAAAAUUGAUAUAAAAUAAAACUAAUAAAAAAGAUAAGCAGUUGAGAGGAUUAAAUAUUUUAUAGUUUAUUUGUUAAAUGUUAAAAAAAAAUAGAAGAUUAAAAAAUAAAAAACAUAAAAGUGGUGGGGUAGGAUCAUCCAAGACCAUCCUCCAUACCCUCUACUUUUGUGUGAUGGACCAUCAUUGGGAGGACUAUGAAGUGGCGCCUACGUGGCGGAUCAUCCUACCUUGGAGGACGAUCACUAUACCCUCUAGCCUAAUUUCACAAAACCCCAAAAUAUCUCAAGAACCAUGCGCUGCUUGUACAACCUUAAUGGCAGAUUGCAAACCAGGAUGUGCCUACAAAAGGCAUUAUUCAAGAUUAUGCUAAUGUGGAGACUGUUCGGCGUAGGCUGCUGUGCUUGGAGGUCGAUGAACAAAAUGCUGAAAGUUAUUUCUAUGCAAUCAGAUGUUUUAAUGAGUUUCCAGUCGGCGGCUGUGAAGCUGAGCUGCAUAAGAAGCUGGAACAUCGGAAUCAGCAGUUUGCAGCUGAGGUUUAUGAGUUGAAGAUGAAGCUGGCACACUCUGAAGAUGAAGUUAUGACCUUAACUGAAGAGUUGAAAGUUUUUAAGGAAGCGAAAAGUUGUUUGGAGUAUUCGAUUAUGAGAAAGAAUGUUGAAGUCCAAAAAAUGAAGCUUGAGUUGGAAUGUCUGAAGAAACAAAUUGCUGAGGGGACUGUGGGAGAAGCACCGCCUUCUUCUGCUGGAAGAGAGUGAAAGCUACUGAUGGAUGGAGUAAACCUUGGAUAUGGGAAGAUCGAUCAGCCUUUUGGUAUAGGAGUUUAAUAAUCAUGUUUUACCUUUUUUUUAGACUUCUAUCGGAUUUUUUUGAGACUAUGUUUGAUU